rnacentral:lncRNA from 8 species
AAACUGAAUGACGUCUCCUGUCUGUCAGAUGGUACCUAUGAAAACGAUGACAGGGACAGGCCUCUAUUCACUCGCUUGCCUUCUCAUGAUAAGUAAGGAACAAUCCUAUUACCAUUUUUAAAAAUCAAGUUGUUUGUUAUUACCUUGUGAAUAUUAUGGAUUCUUCUUCCUCCCCCUAUCAAAUGCUCUAUGUAUACCUCUCUCUCUUUCCCUUUAUCCUGGUUCUCAAUCUUCCAUCCCUCUUUCCCUCCUCACCCUCCACACUCCCUCUCCCUUUCCCUCUAUCCGCCUCACUAUUCUCUCUCUAUCUCUCUUACCUUGCUCUCUCUCUCACUGAAGGUAGUGUCCGUUCUACCUGUGUUCCUUUGGAGUGUCUGAGGUGUGACAUAAUCCCCUCACCUGAAGUGUCUGGGAAUCACAAAGCAGAUGAGGCCAUCUGUGAACACCUGUGCUCUAACACCACCCAAUGUCUCAAUACCACUGAUGUAGAGAAUUGCAUAAAAGAUUUUGAAGUGUUUCUGAACACCAGUUAUGGGUUUGAAGUGGAGGAGGGUGAUGACCUCACAAUGGAGUGUGCCCACGACCUACCGGUGAGAGAUCAUGACCUGCUGGUGUUUGUCUGGCUGAAGGAUGGGCUUCCCCUGAAGGGCGAGAACAAUAGCACGGUCACCUUGGAGAGGAUAGGAAUAGAUACCCCUGCUGAGGGGAAAUACACCUGCACCAUCCAGAGUCCCUGUGGCAACUUCACCUCAGAUCCAGAAGAACUUGAAUUUAAAGACCUGACAGCGGUGAUCAUUGUGAUCUGUGGUGUGUCUGCGGUGGUGCUGGUCCUGGCCCUGGGCAUGGGCAUCAAGCUCAUGCUGCAGAAGGACUUUGCGAAGACCAAGACCAGGAUGCAGCAGAAUACUCAGAACCUACAGAACACCGCCAACACAACAGAGUAG